UCGGGGCGUGGCGCAGCCUGGUAGCGCACUUGCAUGGGGUGCAAGGGGUCGGAGGUUCGAAUCCUCUCGCACCGAC
rnacentral:tRNA from 1 species